GCGACAAAAGAGGACAGUUAUGAAGCUGGUAGUUGAUGCUGAGACAUAUAAAGUUAUUGCCUUAUUGAAGCAUCAAUGUGCGGGCCAGAUGCCUCUCAGAUCAUGCGGGGUAUUGCUGUUGCAAUAUUGAAGUGUGGAGCAACAAAUAGACAAUUUGAUAGCAUUGUAAGAUGUUUUCUUACUAUGGUUUUCGGCCAUUGGAUGGAUGUCGAAUAAUGAUCUGUAUUUGUGUAACAGGCGGUAGGAGGAAUUCACCCUUCUGCGGCAGAGGAAUUUGUAACUAUACGUGACAUGUGACAAGGACUAUAGUAAGUAAACAACCUAAAUAAUUCAUAAUACAAUUAUAUAUAGUAAUAUCUAGAAUGGUCUUCUUGAAUUGGUUGUGACUUAUAUUCGGUAUUAAUUUUACAUUUCUUAAAGAUAUCUUAUAAUUG